CGUGUAGGCGGAUUUUUAAGUCAGGUGUGAAAUCUUUGGGCUCAACCCAGAGUUUGCAUUUGGAUACUGGAAGUCUUGAGUGCAGGAGAGGACAGUGGAAUUCCUAGUGUAGCGGUGAAAUGCGUAGAUAUUAGGAGGAACACCAGUGGCGAAGGCGACUGUCUGGACUGUAACUGACGCUGAGGCGCGAAAGCGUGGGGAGCAAACA
rnacentral:rRNA from 1 species